rnacentral:rRNA from 1 species
AUUCCAGCUCCAAUAGCGUAUAUUAAAGUUGUUGCAGUUAAAAAGCUCGUAGUUGAACUUCGGAACCGGUCGAUUGGUCCGUCCUCUGGAUUGUGUACUGAUCGAUCUGUUCUUCUUCGCGAAGACCGCGUGUGCCCUUAACUGGGUGUGCACGGGAUUCACGACGUUUACUUUGAAAAAAUUAGAGUGUUCAAAGCAGGCAUUCGCUUGAAUAUCUCAGCAUGGAAUAAUAGAAUAGGACUUUGGUCUUAUUUUGUUGGUUUCCGAGACCGAAGUAAUGAUUAAUAGGGACAGUUGGGGGCAUUCGUAUUUCAUUGUCAGAGGUGAAAUUCUUGGAUUUAUGAAAGACGAACUUCUGCGAAAGCAUUUGCCAAGGAUGUUUUCAUCG